rnacentral:rRNA from 1 species
UACGUAGGGUGCGAGCGUUAAUCGGAAUUACAGGGCGUAAAGCGUGCGUAGGCGGUUCGUUAAGUUCGUUGUGAAAGCCCCGGGCUCAACCUGGGAACUGCAAUGGAAACUGGCGGGCUUGAGUAUGGCAGAGGGGGGUGGAAUUCCGCGUGUAGCAGUGAAAUGCGUAGAGAUGCGGAGGAACACCGAUGGCGAAGGCAGCCCCCUGGGUUAGCACUGACGCUCAUACACGAAAGCGUGGGGAG